rnacentral:lncRNA from 1 species
GCGCCCGGCCGGCGUGGCUGGCUGUUUGAGGACUGCGCGCGGAGCUCCGUGGCGGGUGUCUGAAGUCGUGAGUUUACUGCUUGUAAGGAACAUAGCGAUCACUGGGAACCUGGAAGUAGAGACUCCUUUCUGCCAUCCAUCCGUCCCUCGGGCUGCUGCGAAUCCCCCCGCCGGCCUCCAGGACCCCGGGCUGACUGAACGCCCGCACCGGUCCCGCCGCCCCAGGGCCCGCUACGCGCCCGGCAUAAUGGGAGAAAAAUCACGACGGAAAGGCCCAGCCCCUCGCCAUGCAGACGGGAAGCUUGGCCGCACGUGUGAUCACCCUUACGCCCCUUGGAGUUUCACCCCCUCUUCGCGGGCUCCAACAGCCUGGGUCAGGCCUCCUUGUCCUGUGUGGGCCUCUCGGCUGCAAGAACACAGUCCCGAGCCCCGGCGAGCCCGCGCGCCUCCCACCCGCCGUGCACAGGCUGCACUUUACGCCCCAGCACUGCGCCUGCGGGACCAUCUGGAUCGCUUUUCCAUUCUGAUGACGUCCUGUACUUCGUGGCUGCAGGCUCCUCAAGCCCCAGGUCUGUGCAGAGACGAGCAAAGCAGCAGAAUAUCCGUGCCACAGCUUUCUGGAGCACCCAUUUUACUACCAGAUUUGGAAGGAACGAAGUUAAGUAAUUUCCAAGAAUCAUCUCCCCUGCCCCACAAACAUGAAAGAAAAGACAAGAGAAGCACCCCAGAAGAGGAGGGGAGAAGUGCCCCAGAAAAAAUCAUCCAGUCUCUGAAGCUUUGCCCAGGAUCCAUUGCUGCAGCUUCCUGAAGUUGUGUCCGUUAAAAGGCAGGGACCCGGUGUCCAGGCUACAGAGGGUGACUCCAGGUUCCACACCACCACUGUGGACCAGUGUGCCUAUGGACUUAGGAGAGUUCCCAGAUCGCACAAGGGGGCUGCCCCAGAGGGUGUUCAGCUUGUUGCCAACAGUUGCUGAAGCCAAAGUCUGCAACCUUGAUGUUCAGGUCAAGUAGCCAGAAACAGGUGUUCUGGCUUUAGGUCCCUGUGGACAAUGCCAUUCUCUCCUUCCCAGGCUACUGAUGUCCUGGGUUGCUCCUCUUAUGGUAGAAGCUCAAGAUGGAAUGGCUGGAGCUUGGCUGCCUCCGGUUAGAGCCUGGGCUCUGUAUUGCAGACAUCACCUGGCAGAAUUCCUCAUGGGCCCCUUUUGUCGUGGGUGCGACUGCUGGGCCAGGGUUGUCGUGGGUAGUAAAGGUAUUUACCAAGACAACCGUGAGUAAAGAAAGGCAAAUUUAUUACAGAAACUAUGAAAAUACAUUGCAAGAAUGCAACAUGCAGCACAGCAGAGAAGGGGCUGUCUGCAAAGAUAAAGGGCUGGAGGGAAGUUUUCUAAGGUUGUGCUGGACGGCGCUAUGUGCAGGUGAGCUUGUGCUAUAUGCUAAGAAUAUGUUGGAAUAAUUUUAACUGCCAGACCUUUCCUCUUCUGGUGCCCGAGGGAAACGCCCUGCUGCUUUUAGCUGUCUUGUAACCCACACGCCUUUUCACUUCUGAAGUUGCAAGAAUAACGGCUGUGGUUUUUCACACAAAAGGGUUGCAGACUGGGUUAGGUCCCUGUUCCGCCAACCUGGCUGUUUCCCAGUUUCAGUUAACUUAGUGGUUUACUAGAGCCCCACACCUUUCUCUUUCAUAUGGCCAUGAUCCAGGAGGUAAUCCGUCACCUCCCCUCCACUAGAGUGCUCCAUGGCCAGGGAUAAUCCGUCACCUCCCCUCCACCAGAGUGCUCCAUGGCCAGGGGUAAUCCUCACCUCUCCUCCGCUAGAGUGUUCCAUGGCCAGGCAGUGUUUCCUGGGUCCAGAGCACCUCAAACAAUUUCAGUGUUGUGGUGACUCAGGGCCUUCACCAUACAGACUUGACAGCAUAGUCUAGAGGCUGGAGGGGCUCUGUGACUCCCAUUAAUGACAGUCACUGCCACGGUUUCCCCAGGCAGGAUGUGCCAGGAGAACUGCUCCAUGUUGGCUCAGCAGAAUGUUAUUAUAGGUAGCUCAAAAAGAGAGGGAACAGGGCUUCUCUAGAUUAUUUCAGGGAACGAGCUAUUAUUUGAAUGUUAAUUUAAGACUAUUUUAUCAAUUAAAAAUGUAAGGCCCAAGAAACUUCAGUGAGGAAGAAUGAACAAAUUGAAUAAAU